rnacentral:rRNA from 1 species
UACGGGGGGGGGCAAGCGUUUGUUCGGAAUUACUGGGCGUAAAGGGCUCGUAGGUGGCCAACUAAGUCAGACGUGAAAUCCCUCGGCUUAACCGGGGAACUGCGUCUGAUACUGGAUGGCUUGAGUGUGGGGAGAGGGAUGCGGAAUUCCAGGUGUAGCGGUGAAAUGCGUAGAUAUCUGGAGGAACACCGGUGGCGAAGGCGGCAUCCUGGACCACGACUGACGCUGAGUGAGCGAAAGCCAGGGGAGCAAACGGG